UCCCACUCUACAGUCUCUGCAGAACCAAACCCCUUCUUUCUCAUUAAAGCCCUAGCUACAAAUCUUUUCUCCUAGACUAGAUUUCAAUUGGGCUCCCAGAAGAAUCUGUUCUAGACUGCAGAUUAGUAAACAAAAUCCUGGGGAAAUGAUUGAUGUUGAUACUGGUGGAGUAGUCGCGCUCAUCCUUUCUCUGUUGCACAAGAUGAUGACAUUCUAAUUCUGGAAAAUGAUGCAUUCUGCGAAUGUCUAUUCUUGAAUCUGAAUGAGUUUUAAAGAUUUAAAUUCAUUUGGUGGAGAAUGUGGCAUAGUCUAUUACACUUAAUUUGUUUUUAGAAAAGAAAUAGUCUGGAGAAGUAUAUGCUCGAGAAAUCGUGUGAAAUUUGAACCCUUUUGCAGUGUUUCUUGGAAAUUUAUCUGUUUUUUAGCGUAACUUCUUAGAAUGCUGUCAGUUUGAGAGUAACUUGAUUUUCCUAUUGAGUAUAGGUAUUCGUCUAAGAGAAAUAAUUCAUGCAAUGUAGGCAAGGUGCCUCACUGCCUGCUGAAAUGUACUUGUAAACAGUUAUACCUUUUUGACUUAUUAUUACAUUUUCAUGGCCAUGUUAUGGCACAGAUAUAACCAAAUUGCUUUACUUUUUGCUUUCUUGCAUAUGACUAUGUUGAGCUGACUGUAUAUAGGUUAAUAUCUUAUGGAUACCAUUGAAUUUGCAUUGUUGCCUGGAAUUUUCAUUUUUCAAGUCCUCUCAAAGUUCCUUCUUGUUGUAAAUAAUAGCUAGCAGCUGUAAAAGAGUCACCAGGUCUCCAUGAUCUAGUAUUGGUGGCGUGAGUGAGAAACUUUGGUUCAUGUUCCUUAACUGUCAACAGAUACUAUACGACAAACCAUGACUAGCAGUUCCCCAAAAUGAAACUAGGACAGGACAGAGUUUCUAGGAUAUGAAAUAGUAAUAGUUGAAACAACAUACAAGUCUAAGAGAAAUCUCAUCCCAAUCAAACCCAAACAACCCAGAGGGGGGAUCCUAUAACUCUAGAAAGUGAGAUGCAAACAAGUGAUGUAGAAGAUUUUUCUGCAUCAGCAAUACUAGUUCCCUGUACCUGCUAGUUUGUCUGAUGACCAUCUAAAGGCCCAUUUGUUCUUGCUUUCAAAGAUAUUCCAAGCUGGAAAUCUGCAUUUCUAGCUUGCGAAUUCAAAAUUAUAGAGCAACGUGAGGUAAUCAUUGGUUACUGGAGUAGUAAAAUUUGAAAAUGAAAACUGUUGGUUUCCUAUUACCGAGAGGAGGUACCUUGGAACGAUGGGCUACCAUCGUAUCUGGAAAAGUUAACGACUCAUAUGUAAGGAAUCGAUUCCAGUUGGUUCGAUUGGUUUUAGAGUCUCAACUAGAAACAGUUUUCAAAGUUCCCUGCAGCAACUGCUGUACCAUAAUGUCCAUCACAAAACUCCGAAAACUGUCGGUUUUAGUUGCUAAGGCCCCACGCAUGAGUAGUAAAAUCCGAAAACUGUCGGUUUCCUAUUACUGACAGAUGAUACCUUGCAUUGAUGGGCUAUAAUCAAAUCUGGAAAAGUAAACGAUUUAUAUGUAAGGAAUAGGUUUCAGUUUGGUUAGAUUGGUUUGAGAGUCUCAACUAGAAACAGUGAAGUUUCCUGCAUCAAGAUUCCAACCGCUGUACUCCAACGUCCAUCACAAAACUCAAGGUGUGGCUUUUGUUCUGCGGUAGCAUGCACCUAGGCUAGGGAUGAAAUUUGAGUUGUCGUUCGCAUAAUUCUAGAAGUCUUUUAUCAUGACAGUACCAAGUGGAAAAAGGUCAAGGACUGUAACACCAGCGAUUGAGUUUAUAUAGUUGCUGGGUGCAGGAACUUGGAUUCUUAGUUAACAAACAAACGGCAUUCAUUUUCUCGCCUUGAAUGUUCUGGAAAAUACUUCGUUUCUCUAAAUGCAAAUUGAGUUAAUCAGUGAAAUUUGAAACUUGUUAUUGUAUUAUUGGGGUUCAAAAGCACCAGCCUUGCCCAUUGUGGUCAUAGGGUGGUCAUUGACCAUAGCAGGUACUUAACAUCCAGUAGGAGGAGCUAAAAAUGGCUCCCUAGGGUGCAGGAGCAGGAACUAUAGAAGGAAGUGAAGCAAUGAAUUGGUAGAAGCAGAAAUAGCAGGGAUGGGAACCAUAGUCUCAACAGAUGGGGAGGAGGAGUCAACAGCUCAUUCUUGGUAAGAUAGAUCGGUUUAGUUUGCUUUAAAAUUUAAUUUCCAUGUUUAUGUCUCAAACAACAGAUAAUGACACGUUGAAUGCAGAGUCAAUGUUGAGUAACAACCAACAAUCUCAACUGAUAUUUUUUAUUUGAAUCUUAGUCACACUUGUUUAUAUGAACUUCAUAAUGAACGACACAUACUGUUUUUCUGAUGAUAGCUCUCAUUGGCUACUAUUUUCAAAACUUUACAAAAUUCCGGACGAAACCUUAGUUAGUUUUGAAGAAUGAGUGAAUCUAACUGCAGAUUUAUGCUGCACAAGUAUAGGUUAUGUUCUUCCAGAUGAGGAGUCUCCUCUGCAAGUAUCUGAAAGGAGAAUUUUUCAUGUCAGGACCAGAUUGUUAUUGAUGAAAUAUAGAACCAUCAGAAAGUGAAUGAAAAAUAGAUCAGUAAAAGUAUUAUUACCUCAAAUCCCAUCUUUCUGUAUAGCGCCAGUGCUGGUUUGUUAUCCCGAUGGACAAGUACAAAUACCUGCUUUAUACCUGACACAUCAAAUUCAAGAUUAUCGGUUGCGUUAGUUUUCCUCCUUGCAGGUAAGCAUCCAAUUUGGAUCACUGGAAGAGAAAUUAAGCAGUCAAACAACUGAGGGAUGGUCUUACCGUGUUCUUCUGCAGUUUCAAUUGCAAACUUCAGCAUGCUGCUUCCAACACCUUGUCGACGUGCACUUUCAGCAACAGCUACAUUUGAGAUUGUGCCAUAUUUCUCUAAUCCUUUUUGUCUGAAGGUGCUAGAUGCAUUCACAAUCUUCCAGAGUUCCUGAGGAGUCAAGGAAUUCAAAUCUUAGGUGAUUCUCAACAUCAAAUUGCCAACUUAAAUUAGAAAAUUAUCCAAGUAUAAUGCACCUGAUCAGGAUAAGUCUCCCACUGUAACUGGUACUUGACACGAAAAUCCAGAGUUCCAAUGACAUUUUUAAACAUGUGCACAUUCUUGCCUUCGUUUCUUACAGCAACAAUGCACAUGAAUGGUUCUAAAUAACGCGUCGAAUAUCGCCUUUCUAUUGUAUCCAACUCCUGCAUUAACAGUAUGCCAAUAAGCAGCACCAUUCUCAUGUGAUGCAUUUACUAAUUUUCAGUUGUGUAAGUGUAGUUUUUACUUUUACCUG